ACGAACGCUGGCGGCGUGCCUAAUACAUGCCAGUAGAACGCUGAAGAGAGGAGCUUGCUCUUCUUGGAUGAGUUGCGAACGGGUGAGUAACGCGUAGGUAACCUGCCUUGUAGCGGGGGAUAACCAUUGGAAACGAUAGCUAAUACCGCAUAACAAUGGAUGACACAUGUCAUUUAUUUGAAAGGGGCAAUUGCUCCACUACAAGAUGGACCUGCGUUGUAUUAGCUAGUAGGUGAGGUAACGGCUCACCUAGGCGACGAUACAUAGCCGACCUGAGAGGGUGAUCGGCCACACUGGGACUGAGACACGGCCCAGACUCCUACGGGAGGCAGCAGUAGGGAAUCUUCGGCAAUGGGGGCAACCCUGACCGAGCAACGCCGCGUGAGUGAAGAAGGUUUUCGGAUCGUAAAGCUCUGUUGUAAGUCAAGAACGAGUGUGAGAGUGGAAAGUUCACACUGUGACGGUAGCUUACCAGAAAGGGACGGCUAACUACGUG
rnacentral:rRNA from 1 species